CAAUAGCGUAUAUUAAAGUUGUUGCAGUUAAAAAGCUCGUAGUUGGAUUUCUGGUGGGAGCGAUCGGUCUGGCGCUUAGCGCGAGUACUUGCAUCGUCUCCGGCCAUCCUUGGGGAGUGUCUGUCCGGCAUUAGGUUGUCGGGCAGAGGAUCCUCAUCGUUUACUGUGAAAAAAUUAGAGUGUUCAAAGCAGGCUUAUGCCGUUGAAUAUAUUAGCAUGGAAUAAUAAGAUAGGACUUUGGUACUAUUUUGUUGGUUUGCGCACCAAAGUAAUGAUUAAUAGGGACAGUUGGGGGUAUUCGUAUUCCGUUGUCAGAGGUGAAAUUCUUGGAUUUACGGAAGACGAACUACUGCGAAAGCAUUUACCAAGGAUGUUUUCAUUAA
rnacentral:rRNA from 1 species